GUUUUAUGUGCGUUUAGCUCAUCUUUUAUCACAAGACAGGAUGGUGUUUCAAAUAUUGCUGGUGUUCUGUGUCGUAGUCUAUGUUGAGACUAAGAAAGAAAGUUGUAAAGACCUGCUACAGGGCUAUCUGACAGGACAACUGUCGUCUGCUCUAGGAAGGUAUCAAGUAAAGGCUUUGAGGCGGGAUUUUGAAAGCUUCUCUAAUGAUGUAAAGAAAGCCUUAAAGGAAGUAAAGAAAAACAAGUGGCCGAUAUAAAAAUGAUUCAAGAAAUCCAGAACAGUAGUAUCGUUUACACAAGAUGGGGAAAAAAGACAUGCCCUUCCAAUGCUGAACAGGUUAUCUCGGGUUAUGUCGGAGGGUCAUGGUAUGAUCACACUGGGGCUGCUGUAAAUCCACUUUGCCUACCAAAGAAUCCAGAGUGGGGAAUUUACAAGGAUGGAACAGAUGGACACAAAGCGUACAUGUAUGGUGGAGAGUACCAGACAGACACAGUCCCAGCCUAUAUGAGGACACUAUAUCAGCACGACGUCCCUUGUGUGGUUUGCUUGGUUCGUAAACGGUCCGUUGUUCAAAUGUUCCCAGCAAGAAAGACGUGCUACGCGGGAUGGAAGCUAGAGUAUCAAGGCUACCUAAUGGCUGGUUACCAUGGUUAUAAAGCCGGAUCUACCUACACCUGUGUUGACAGUCAUCCAGACACCGUGCAUGGAGGACAUGCUAAUAAAAAUGGAUAUCUAUUUUAUCCAGUUGAGGCUAGAUGUGGUACACUGAAGUGCCCACCAUACGUCGAGGGACGAGAAGUCGUUUGUGUUGUCUGUUCUAAAGAAUGAUAAAACUGCAUUUACAUUAAAAGCCUGAAGCAUUAUAUUGC
rnacentral:misc_RNA from 1 species